AUUCCUGAAUUUUUACGCAGCUCCGUGUUGCUCUUGGCACUCUGCAGAGUGAGGGCUCCGUAUUUGUCCACGGAGACAGUUUCAAGAGGACCUGAUGUGUUUGCCCAUGGCGACGUUGUAGCCAGCAUCAACUGAACCUACCAUGCUCCCGUCUCUUCUCUUGUAGCGACGUUGUAGCCAGCAUCAACUGAACCUACCAUGCUCCCGUCUCUUCUCUUGUAGAGCUGGGUGCUAACCUGUUUGGUCUUUUAAUGGCCCUGACUUCUAGAUGGAGGUCUAUCCUGUGCCUUAGAUUUCUUAAGUUGCUCUUGGGAUUGUUGUGUUUACAUGAAGACAUAU
rnacentral:lncRNA from 1 species